ACAGAGAGGUGUGGCCACGAGACUGAGUCCUGAUCAUUAUUGCAAUGCGGACAGAGGAAUGGAAGCCCUCUCCAGGCCUGGCCUAGAAAACAAAACCCAUGUGGCCUGCCACAACUUCUCUCUGUCCUCCUCUGACAGCUGAAUGCAGAGGACAGCCUGGAGAAAAUGCCAGAACAAUGUGAUCUUAAAGUCCAGGACCCUGACUGGAAAGGCAGAACAGGGCCACCCCAUCAACCAGCAUUGGACUGUGAUUAAUGCAAGAAAUAAACUUUUAUUGUGUCAGGCCACUGAGAUUUUGAGUUGUUUACCAUGGCAGUUGGCCAACUCGUACAAGUAUUACAGUCCUUCUGAUUUUUGUAGAAGAGAAUGCUGGGCUCUAGAGAAGUUCCCAAAUCUGAGGGAGGAUGGAACUGAAUCUAGGGUUUGAGGUUUGCAAGGCACUGGGAUAAAAAUGUUAAAUCUCCUUGACCAGUUCUGUAUUCUAAAUCAUUAAAUUAUGAUCUGCUUUUAAGUUUCAAGUUGCAAGUGUCAUAUAACACUGAGCCUCCAGAGAUACUCUUAAGCAUAUUUCAAGAAAUUGGUCCCAUAUGGAAAAGAAUGUGGUCUAAAAGCAGGGAACUUCUUGUUCUCAUUCUGACAGCUGAGUGUUUACUUGGGAGUCAGAAGCGUUCAAUGCAUUUCAAUGGGUCCUUUUCAUUUUCAGUUUGGCUCACUGGAAUUAGAAAUCUGGACUUAAAGGAAAAUGAUUCUUUUUUGUUACGCAUGGAUUUUCCCUUUCCAGUGCUGAGUCCCACUUGCUUCAGUGUCAUUGGCUUCAUGAAAAAGUGCCACCAGUAUCCCAGGAUUAAAGACAUCAAAGACAAUUUUGGAGUCACUGGAGCAUAAGCAUGAGGGCAGGUCCUUGUCUUCCUGCCUGAAUCACUGAGUAGAAGAGUGCCAGGCACAUUGCAGGUGAAGUGAACUUGGGAGUCAAUGCAUUUGUCAAAUGGACUCUGUCAGAUUGUCUUGCAGAAAGGUUGAACCAACCCAUCCUCUCCCAGCAGAGCUUCGCUGUUCAAAACUGGUGUCCUUGUAAGAAAGGCAGAGAGAGUUCUGAAACACGCACGGAAGAAAGACACAGAUGUGAGCGAAGGCAGAGAUUGGAGUGAUGAGGCAGCCGGCAGCCAGAAGCUGGAAGGGGCAAGGAAGGAUUCCUCGCAGAGCCUCCAGAAGGCGGCUGACACCUUCGUUUCAUACUUGUGGCCUCCAGAACGGUGACCGAACAUCUCUGCUAUUCUAAGCCACCCUGCCUGUGGCACCUCUGUGUUCUGUAGUAAAUGACUUUACUACGGGUCCUUUCCUGCAUGUGGGCUCUGAGAGGGAAGACAGCAGGAAGAGCACAUGGGACCAGAGGCGGUGUUGCCAUGGUGAAGCCAAGCACAAAGCAGGAGUGGAGAGCCUGGAGCCCUGGGCUCCCUGCGUUACAGUUUCACAGAGCCAGCCAGAGACGCUGGCCCUCCACCGGGCUGAUAACCUGGUCUUUACGACUCCCAGCAACCCUGCACAUUUUACAAAGGCAAUCAAUCAGUUUGUCCAAAUUCAUGGAAGAGGGCUAAGACAGGACGUGAGCAAAUGUUCCUCUGUCCUCAAGCCCUUGGCAUAGGGAUGUCUUGUUUCCUUUAAUAAAGAGAAGUAAAGAAAAAUGCAGUUAAGGGAUCCACAUUUCCCAGAUUCACGUGUGUGAGCCCAGAAGGUGUUCACACGUCAUGCUGUUCAAGUGCGCAGUGCUAACCAUUCUCUGGGUGCUCCUGAACUGAGCGGCCACAGCCUCCUUCCCCCACGUCGGAGCGGCUCUUAGGGCUGGAGGUCACCAUGCAAAGAGGCUUCCUACUGUUCCGGUGCCUGAACAGAGAACACCUGGGGCUUGGUCCCCUCUAUUACUAAUUAGCUGGAUGUUACUGUGAUAAAGAGGGCCCUUCUUUUAACUUCUCUGUGCUUGACUUUUCCCAUCUGAGAUGGGGAUGGAUUGGGUGAGUGGUUCUCAGUCUUUGCUGCACAUUAGAACUUUCUGGGUAGCUUUCGUAGGCCAUACCCUAUGCCAAUUAAAUUAGUUUCCAGGGUGUGAUCCAAGCAUCAGCAUUUCAAAAACAGUCCAGGUGAUUCUUAUGUGUGGCCAAGAGUGAGAACCAGUGGAUUAAAUGACCUCUAAGAUCCUUCCUGAUGUAAUGGUGUUUGUCAACAUCUGCACGUAAAGCCAGUAGCCAGAUAUCCAGAAUUCACGGAAAACACUCUGCUAAAGCCUUACACUCAACUUUUUGAGAGAAAGUCACUUCACUGUGGUUUUCCCAAUAACAUGGUAUUUAAAAUCUAUAUAGUGGUCUAAACCUAUUAUGGCCUUUCAUGCUUUUACAGAGGACUAACAUGAUAAUAGAACUAUUCAGGUAUCAUUUAGCAAAUUAAUUAUUCUAGGCAGUUGUUCUAAAUGGUACCCUGGAGUUCUGACAAAAAUAAUUAAUGUUAUUUAGUCAACCAGCAUUAACUAAGCUCUUGUUUGUUCUGAGUACUGCUAAAUGCAAACUGGAGAUAGAGGGGUGAAUAGUCUCACAUUUGAGAACUCAGUGUCCAGGGUGGUAAUCAUUAUAACAGCAAUAAUAAUGACAAAAGCAGCUACAUUAGAAAGUACUUAUUGCAUAUCAGGCAAUGUGCCAUGUACUUUUUAUAUGUCAUUUUAGAUUCUCACAAAAUAUUGUUCCUAGGCAAGCAUCAUUGCCCCCAUUUUAUUGCUGAGGAAACUAAGGCCCAGAGAGGUUAUACAACUUGCUAAGAUCACACAGCUGAGAAGUAGUCCAUCUGUCAUUCCAACCUAUGUUACCCAUGCUAUUUCCACUGUACCACAGAACCUCUAGAGAGAAAGGAUUGAGAAAUAGAGAUAGAGAUGGCAGGGAGAGGGUUAACUUACAUGGGGGAGAAUCAGCCCUAGGAUGGGGGAGUUGCUGUGAAUUUUUCACAUGAAAGGUGCUAUGAGAAAAUAAAUAUUAUAAAUUAAUAUUUUAA